rnacentral:rRNA from 1 species
ACGCCCGGUCCCAUCCCGAACCCGGAAGCUAAGCCUGCCAGCGCCGAUGGUACUGCACUCGUGAGGGUGUGGGAGAGUAGGACGCCGCCGGAC